ACGUCAUGUUAUAACCGUUGUGCUCCACUUGUCACAGUUGAAUUAUAGCCGUUGUCCUCCUGAUUCCUAUCAUUCCCUUCCCCUUAAAACCCUUGUCCUCAAGGAUUGAAUUCUAGAAACCUGCUAUGUAACACCGACCAGUCCUCCCAGGUGGAGUCCUUUGGAAUGGUGUUCAACCACUGCACCAAGACCUGACUUAUAGCUUGAUUAUUCCGCUUAAUCAGUUUGCGGUCCAAGAUUGCUAUGGGCUCGACUAACAACUAUCCUUCGGAACCAAUUUCUGGAAGUGUAGUUGUUGGUACCACAGCUUGGCCGAGCUUUCUCUUAAGUAGGGACACAUGAAAGAUAGGAUGGAUUUUUAAAUGUGGUGGAAGCUUCAAACGUCGCUCACAAUUGUUGAAGGAAGACCAUGCAGUUUAAAGAUGUUAUCAAAAUAUGCAGUGGCCACCAAGGAGGUUGUAUAGGGGUGAGCGAGGGCCACCAAAUGUGCAUACUUGGUAAGUCGAUCCACCACCACCAGUAUAACUUCCUUUCUGUCUGAUUUUGGAAGUCCAAUGAUGAAAUCCAUUAAAAUAUCAGACCAAAUUUUUUGAGGAACAGGUAGGGGUUGUAACAAACCUGGGUAAGCUAUGUUUUCUCCUUUAUUGCAUUAACAAGGAUCGCAUUCAAAUACAAACUCACAAACAUCUGCAUUGAGUUUUGGCCAAAAAAAAAAUUGAGCAACUCUUUUGGCGGUGCCCGUGAUUCCUGAAUGUCUGCCUAUGCUGCUGGAACGUAAUGCUGAUAUGAUAGUCUUCCUCAAAGUACCUGUAUUACCAACAACUAACUUCCCUUUGAAUCGUAAUACCCCAUCCUGCCAUUUGUAGUCUGUAGAUGCAUUUGGAUCAAUGGACAGCUGAGUUAUAAUUUCUUGGACCUUACGGUCCUCUUCCCAACUUGCCUGGACCUCCUGCAACCAUGUUAGAACCAAAGCUGAAAUAGCUCUACAUUCACUCAUUGUACUAGGAAGCCUGUAGAGUGCAUUAGCUUCUACAUUUUCCUUUCUAGAUUUGUAACAAAUCUCAUAGUCGUAUCCCAAGACUUUUGUUAACCACUAUUGUUGUAACAACGUAGUGACUCGUUGCUUUAAAAAAAUUUCAGGCUUUGGUGAUCAGUUCUGAUAAUGAAAUAGUGGCCCAAGAGGUAAGUUCUCCA